AUCCACCUGACUGGUCUUAAAUAGGACGAAACGCGCGUCUUGUAU
rfam:Schistosoma mattheei strain Denwood, Zambia genome assembly, scaffold: SMTD_scaffold0000191